AAAACUCAAAACAAAAGGGAAAAAGAAGGCCCCUGUCAUAAUCGUUGUGUGUUGUGGUAAAGUCAUCAGGGGGGUAUAGAGAAAUUCGUUCAUUACUGCCGCCAGGUUCAUCUUGGCAGGUUAGGUUCUACUAAGAAUCAAGGAGUUUGGAUCUUUUGUUGUUCUAUAAAGUCAGAUUCUGGAAGAGGAAGAAGAAAGCAGCAACGCGGUGGUAGAAGCGUUUAAUACAACGUUGUGCAUACUAGUAAUCGUUGUGAAGAGAAUAUUGAUACAGCGUUGCUCGUUAUUAUAAAUUGUAUUAAUAUUAGCGGCUUUGUUUUUUGCGACUCAUUAAGGAGGGACUUUUGUCUGCUGACGAGAGCCCGGAUAUAAUCUGAGGCUCUUGGUAAAACUGGGGAAAAGAUAACACUAGCCCGGUCCCCGCAUUACUUCGAGUCUUUCAAUUUGGAAUCUCAUUUUGUUUUAUCACGUGUGUUGACAUUUCCAUUGGCCGAGCGCAUGUAAAUUGGUGAUUGUGAAACCAAUUAAUGUAUUGGAAUUCUUUGAUAUCUGAUUGAUCGUAUCUUAAUGUUGUCGGUAUUCCUCUGUCGGAUGCGAAGAGAUUGCACGGGCCCUGAAUGGAGAAUCCAUACGCUGUAGUCUUUAUUGCGUCUUUUCCCCCCUUUAAUCUGCGCUUCAAUUUGCCUAUCUGGACUGCAAUAUUCUUAAUUAAAAACCUGAGGAUAACGAUGUAUUUUAUCUUGAAAGGUAAUGCAUGAAUUUGGAAAUUGUGUGUUUUGCAUUUGAGAUGUUGUUCUUGACAAAAUGACCUAUUGCAUAAUAGAAAUGGUAUUAGCUAUGAUAGGCUAAGAAAACAGUGUAAUUGCAGUUGUUGUAAAUACUACUAGAGCAAGGCGCAUAACUCUUUAAUUUGCGUGGAUAUCUUAAACUAAAAGAUUAUUUCUUUAGAAAAAAGUGACUUCCUUUUUCUAAAAUGUAUCGGAAUGAGCAAAGGUAUUUUGGAAAAGUCUUUCACCAGAGGCUUUACAGAAAAAGGUUCGUUUAUUUUAAACAAAAACAUUUACACGAGAAAAGUAUGAUUCAACGAGAGAUUAGAAAAAAAAAACUCGGACCAAACGGAAAAGAAAAAAAGAAACCAACUAUAGACUGC
rnacentral:misc_RNA from 1 species